GUACGGAACUUGUUUAAAUAAAAUUUGGUAGCCAUACUUGGUUGGUAUUCUUAUAAAUGAUUUUGGUUUGUUUUUGUGUAGUCUAGGUUGGGAAUUAUGAACUUAAAGCCAGGGAUUAUGGAGAACAAGAUGAAGAAUGCUGCAAGGAUAGCUUAGGAGAUGAUUUAUCCUUGGUGACUAGUGUUUGGGGAUGGUACACUCAAUCGAAAUUCAUCCUUCGCGAAAGUAUUUUUGUGCGGCAAUGCAUCAGGUUUAUUAUGUUGUCGUGCAGAAAAAGCGCAUUGGCGUGGAGAUAAGCUCCAAUUCUGCUGCUCUAGGUACUUGGAGAGCUUAAAACUCUGUCAAGACUUUAUGAAAUAUUUGCUGCAUCAUUCGAGAAACAAUAGGUGCUUCGUUGCAACACUCCAACUCUUGGCAUGUUCAAGGCUGCAAGCGAUGGA